rnacentral:rRNA from 1 species
CAUAGCGUGAGGAAGGCAGACCCAGGGAACUGAAACAUCUAAGUACCUGGAGGAAGAGAAAGAAAAAUCGAUUUCCUGAGUAGCGGCGAGCGAAACGGAAAGAGCCCAAACCAAGAAGCUUGCUUCUUGGGGUUGUAGGACACUCUAUACGGAGUUACAAAAGAAAGUUAUAAAUGAAGCGGUCUGGAAAGGCCCGCCAAAGACGGUAACAGCCCGGUAGUUGAAAUGGCUUUCCCUCCAGAGUGGAUCCUGAGUACGGCGGAACACGUGAAAUUCCGUCGGAAUCCGGGAGGACCAUCUCCCAAGGCUAAAUACUCCCUAGUGACCGAUAGUGAACCAGUACCGUGAGGGAAAGGUGAAAAGCACCCCGGAAGGGGAGUGAAACAGUUCCUGAAACCGUGUGCCUACAAGUAGUUAGAGCCCGUUAAUGGGUGAUAGCGUGCCUUUUGUAGAAUGAACCGGCGAGUUACGAUUUGUUGCAAGGUUAAGCGGAAAAAGCGGAGCCGUAGCGAAAGCGAGUCUGAAUAGGGCGCAUAAGUAACAGGUCGUAGACCCGAAACCAGGUGAUCUACCCAUGUCCAGGAUGAAGGUAAGGUAAUACUUACUGGAGGUCCGAACCCACGCACGUUGAAAAGUGCGGGGAUGAGGUGUGGGUAGCGGAGAAAUUCCAAUCGAACUUGGAGAUAGCUGGUUCUCUCCGAAAUAGCUUUAGGGCUAGCCUCGAGGUAAAGAGUCAUGGAGGUAGAGCACUGUUUGGACUAGGGGCCCUUCUCGGGUUACCGAAUUCAGAUAAACUCCGAAUGCCAUGUACUUAUACUCGGGAGUCAGACUGCGAGUGAUAAGAUCCGUAGUCGAAAGGGAAACAGCCCAGACCACCAGUUAAGGUCCCCAAAUAUAUGUUAAGUGGAAAAGGAUGUGGGGUUGCUUAGACAACCAGGAUGUUGGCUUAGAAGCAGCCACCAUUGAAAGAGUGCGUAAUAGCUCACUGGUCGAGUGACCCCGCGCCGAAAAUGUACCGGGGCUAAACAUAUUACC